CAACUACACCCUUUCUGUUGGAAUAUCACCACAAAAGUAUAGAAGGAAAAGAAGAGGUCGAACUAUAAAUUAAAUUAAAAAAUGGCAGCACUACAAAUCAAGCAAACCAACCAAGCAACGUCAACAAAGGCAGUCAAACCAGAAAUUAUCAAACACAAGAUUGCGCCUUCCCAAGUGCCGCAAAGUCAGUACAAAGAAUAAACCAACAAAAAUUAGAGGAAUUUCUUCCACUGACAACAAUCAACAAUUGUCGUCGCCGUUGACAAGGAAUUCUUAGCAUUAUUGUUGCAUUGUGUGGUAUUAAAAUCAGUUGCAAUCAAGAGUGGCACUAUGAAAACAACUUUAUUAUAUUUAAACAACAUUAAUUCUAAAUAACUUGUCCGUUGUGCUGUGACCUAAACACCAUAGCGAACACCAUUUCAACCAUUCACAAUAUCACAAUGUCAAUCCCUCAUUAUCCUUCGUAUAUCCUUUUCCGUCAUCGAAUUUCGAGUGAAGCUGCUACUUCGGUCAUCAAUUUCGUGAUAAUGAAAGGCGUUGGGCCUUAAAAAAUGCUCGUAUAAAUUCAACAAUCAAUAAGAAAAGAAAAUAAGUGUAAGAAAUUACAGUGCAAUUAUUAAAGUUUAAGCGGAAGUCUGUCGGCUUUGAAAAUGUUCCUCACAACUUGUGUAUGUGUGUGCGUCAUAGGGAAUUCUGUGUCCUGUGGAUUUUCGGAUGGAUUUAUUUGCCACAGAAACGUCAAAAAUCAAUUCUUAAGCCUCAAGUAUUUUCUAUAAAUGAUUUAAAAAAAAUUUACUUAUUGAAAAAAUGGCUUCAGCCCUCCCCUAGCACCCCGCUUAUGGUGCAUCUUAUUUACUGGAUUGCCUCAUCACUACCAUUGCGGCAUUGGUGUAGUGAAAAAUCGAUAAAAGUUGCUGUAUUCGAAAUGCCGGUGAUGCGGGCAUACGGUCAGCCAACAAUAAUAUCACAUUCUUCGUCAUAGUAUCGACCGAGAAUACGACGGAACAACAACAACAAAAAAGCAAGAAUUCCGACAAAGAAUCAUUCAUUAACAAAAACAAAAUAAACAAGACGAAACACAUCUGGAAAUGUAAACAAACGAAUGAAAAUGACGGAAUAAAUUGUGAAUUAUAAAGUGGGUGGUGAGGUGUUUCCAUAACAUUUGGCUGCAUUGCGUCGUCUAUAAUAAUUUGCAUGUUUGCAUUGUAUUUAUAACUUGUAAAGUGUAUGAAUCGUCUGUGACCAAUGUAAUAUACCGAAAUUGCUUGGGAAAGUAAUGCUCUGCUGUAACGUAAAUUACCGGUACGCAACUAUCUCGUAAUAUGUAAUUGGUUUUUGAUAUUACGCUCGUAUAAACAUACUUUUGUAUUUCACUGUGAUAAUAUAAUUUAAAGAAUUUCCUUCCAAGCACCAAAGAAAAAUGUUUUAUUUUACAUAAAUAGUAUCUACAUGAAUACUAUAAAGAGUAUCGGAAACAAAAAAAUACAAACCUAAUUCAAAAAUAGCAACUAAUUAUAAAAAACUUCGCAAAUUGGCGAAGAGAAAUUGGAAAGAGUCCAACAUGCAAACGCUCCGUAAAAAAACCAGUCCCUGUAAAUUUUUUGAUUUCAUAGUUUGUCUAUUCCCAUCAAGAGCUUAAUUGCAGUUAAAUUUCAGUAAUGUGAAGCGUUCCCACUGGGGAUACAUAUCCCAUUCGGGAUACUUAAAACAAGGUUUAGGUGAUUACCUAAUUUCAAGGAAAUUACAAGGACACAAUCGUUAAAAUAUUUGUAUUCGGAUGUAUUCUAUACAGGAUUUGUGGUUUUAAAUAUAACGGCAUUGAAAAUGAAACAUUAAAAGAGGUGAAGGGCCUGUAAAAACACACACAUUUUUUGAGAAAACGGUAUUUACACCGAAAAUCGGUAAUUUUCAAGAGCUAAUCAAUUUGCUGCGCUGCUGUAGCCGAAUGGGUUGGUGCGUGACUACCAUUCGGAAUUCGGACAGAACGUAGGUUCGAAACUCGGUGAAAAACUAAAAUUAAGAGAAAGACGCACGCCACAAAUAGGAGGAGGGAGCUCGGCCAAAAGAAUGUACGCCCCAAAAAGGGUGUAUGCGUCAAUUAUAUAUGUACAUAUAAUCAAUUUUCUGCAUUCGCCGCAGCAUUAUGAUUUGGUGCGUGACUACCAUUUGGGAGUGUGUAAGUUCGAAUCUCCGUGCAUGAAACCGCAAAAUUGUAGGGGUUCU